GAACCAACGCCUGUGUGAAUCAUUUCGUUAGAGUCCCUGAAGUGGAUACCUUGGUAUGCAGGGUUGUCAAAUUAUGCAAAUAAAUGCAACAUUAAAAUAAUACCCAAAAUUGACAACAACACUUCGAAUGGUCUGCAAUUUUAUUUGCUAUGGUCUACAUGUUUCGCCUGCAAGGCAGGCUUCAUCAGGACAAUUUUUAUACAGAAAUUAAUCCCUGAAGUACUCAAAGUGGUGAAAUUUGACGUCGUCAUGGUGAGAGAAACAAUGAAAAGUGAAAGUAGCAAUACAGAGUUAUAAAUAGAUAUAAAGAUAAAUAUAGAAAAUUAAGAAAAUUAAAGUUUGUUUACAAUGUAACUUGAGUUCGUUUUACUAUUAUAUGAUACAUGAAAUUGUUCUAAAGGCUUGGUAUCUAAUUGGACGAACUUCCCAUGGUUCCUACCACUUCGCAAGGCUUCUCUUCCAACCUGGCCAUUGUUGGAGGUUACUACUUCCUAGCGCGUCGGCAACAAUAGGAAGAUUAUGGUCGCCGCUAUGGAAAAUAAAAUUGUCAAAAUUUGCUCCCUUGUUGUAAAUUAUUUGGUGACUCUAUAUAAUUGUUGGAUCGUCUGCAGUAGUUGGUCUGUUUAAUGGCAUGGUUAUGAAUUCCUGGCAAGUUCCUUUAAGAUCGGCGCCCGUGGUACAUUUCUUCUACUAUCAUUUAUAUCUGCUAUCAUUU
rnacentral:lncRNA from 1 species